UACGGAGGGUGCAAGCGUUAUCCGGAUUCACUGGGUUUAAAGGGUGCGUAGGUGGGUCUGUAAGUCAGUGGUGAAAUCUCCAAGCUUAACUUGGAACUGCCGUUGAUACUAUAGAUCUUGAAUGUUUGUGGAGGUGAGCGGAAUAUGUCAUGUAGCGGUGAAAAUGCUUAGAUAUGACAUAGAACACCAAUUGCGAAGGCAGCUCACUAACACAAAGAUUGACACUGAGGCACGAAAAGCGUGGGGGAUCAAACAGG
rnacentral:rRNA from 1 species